GUAUUUAUGGUGUAAAGGUUUAACAUAACAGAUUGUGGUUCUGUAGAUUUGAGUUCAAUUCUCAAUAAAUACCCU
rnacentral:tRNA from 1 species